GACGAACGCUGGCGGCGUGCCUAACACAUGCAAGUCGAGCGAAGUGACUUUUAGAGAAGUUUUCGGACUAAUCGACGAGUCAUCUUAGCGGCGGACGGGUGAGUAACGCGUGAGAAACCUGCCUUUCACAAAGGGGAUAGCCUCGGGGAAACUGGGGAUUAAUACCUUAUGAGACUUUAUUGUCGCAUGACAAAGAAGUUAAAGCGUAAAGCGGUGAAAGAUGGUCUCGCGUCCUAUUAGCUAGUUGGUGAGGUAACGGCUCACCAAGGCUGCGAUAGGUAGCCGGCCUGAGAGGGUGAACGGCCACACUGGAACUGAGACACGGUCCAGACUCCUACGGGAGGCAG
rnacentral:rRNA from 1 species